rnacentral:rRNA from 1 species
GAUGAACGCUGGCGGCGUGCCUAAUACAUGCAAGUCGAGCGAACAGACGAGGAGCUUGCUCCUCUGACGUUAGCGGCGGACGGGUGAGUAACACGUGGAUAACCUACCUAUAAGACUGGGAUAACUUCGGGAAACCGGAGCUAAUACCGGAUAAUAUAUUGAACCGCAUGGUUCAAUAGUGAAAGACGGUUUUGCUGUCACUUAUAGAUGGAUCCGCGCCGCAUUAGCUAGUUGGUAAGGUAACGGCUUACCAAGGCGACGAUGCGUAGCCGACCUGAGAGGUGAACCGCCCCACCGGAACCUGGAAACGGGCCCAACCCCCAAGGGGAGGAGGAGGAGGGAAUCUUUCGGAAUGGGGGGAAAGCUGACCGAGGCACCGCCGGUGAGUUAAGAAGGUCUUCGGAUCGGUAAACCUUGUUAAUAGGGAAGAAACAAAUGGUAAGUAACCAUGGCAGGUUUGAAGGGAACCUAUCAAAAAGCCACGGCUAAAUUCGUG